rnacentral:rRNA from 1 species
UGGGGAAUAUUGCGCAAUGGGGGAAACCCUGACGCAGCAACGCCGCGUGAAGGACGAAGGCCUUCGGGUUGUAAACUUCUUUGACGGGGGACGAACAAUGACGGUACCCCGAAAACAAGCCACGGCUAACUACGUGCCAGCAGCCGCGGUAAUACGUAGGUGGCGAGCGUUGUCCGGAAUUACUGGGUGUAAAGGGCGUGCAGGCGGGCCUGUAAGUCAGAUGUGAAAGCCCAUGGCUCAACUGUGGGACUGCAUCUGAAACUAUGGGUCUUGAGUGCCGGAGAGGGAAGCGGAAUUCCAAGUGUAGCGGUGAAAUGCGUAGAUAUUUGGAGGAACACCAGUGGCGAAGGCGGCUUUCUGGACGGUAACUGACGCUGAGGCGCGAAAGCGUGGGGAGCAA